UACAGGGGGCGCAAGCGUUGUUCGGAUUCACUGGGCGUAAAGGGUGCGUAGGUGGUAAGGUAAGUCGGAUGUGAAAGCUCCGAGCUCAACUCGGAAAUGGCAUUGGAAACUACCUUGCUAGAGGGUUUGAGGGGGGACUGGAAUACUUGGUGUAGCAGUGAAAUGCGUAGAUAUCAAGUGGAACACCAGUGGCGAAGGCGAGUCCCUGGAAAACUCCUGACACUGAGGCACGAAAGCUAGGGGAGCAAACAGGAUUAGAUACCCUAGUAGUCC
rnacentral:rRNA from 1 species